rnacentral:rRNA from 1 species
GGAUUAGAUACCCUGGUAGUCCACGCUGUAAACGAUGGUCACUAGAUGUUCGGACUUCGGUCUGAGUGUCCAAGCGAAAGCGAUAAGUGAUCCACCUGGGGAGUACGUUCGCAAGAAUGAAACUCAAAGGAAUUGACGGGGGCCCGCACAAGCGGUGGAGCAUGUGGUUUAAUUCGAUGAUACGCGAGGAACCUUACCUGGGCUACAAUGCCUCUGACAGACGCCGAAAGGUGUUUUUCCUUCGGGACAGAGUGCAAGGUGCUGCAUGGUUGUCGUCAGCUCGUGUCG